rnacentral:SRP_RNA from 1 species
GCUGGGUGGCACGUGCCUAUAGUCCCAGCUAUUUGGGAGGCUGAGGCUGGAGGAUCUCUUGAGCCCAGGAGUUCUGGGCUGCAGUGUGCUAUGCCAAUCAAGUGUCUGCACUAAGUUCAGCAUUAAUAUGGUGACCUCCCGGGAGUGGGGGACCAUCAGGUUGCCUAAGGAGGGGUAAACCGGCCCAGGUCAGUAAUAGAGCAGGUCAAAACUCCCAUGCUGAUCAUUAGUGGGAUCACACCUAUGAAUAGCCAUGGCCGCUUAUUUUAAAAAAAAAGAAAAAA